CAGCAAUAGAAGGAUGCAGGUGCAAUGGAAAAAUAAAAGCAACACUGCCUGAGAGGGAGUAACGGGGGAGAGUAAGUCCAGACAGCACUGAGGGAUCCAGAUUGGUUCCCUUCAUGCACUCCUGAAUCAUGAUCCAAUGGGAAGGCAAACUACAGAGGUUUUUCAAAUUGCGCUCCCUUCGCCAAAGCACCAGAGCUGGAGUUCAUCCUUCUUGAUAGGACAAUGGGAAGAUAACUCUGCCAGGAGUGGGGCUUGGCUGUUUCAAGAUGGCCAUGUUAACACUUCCAGCACACAACUGUGUGUGGCCACUUUCAUCUGCUGCAGCCUCUGGCUUCCCUGACCCUUGGACUCCAAUGGCUUUUUCAGCCGCCACAGGAGAUUUGCCUGACUUGCAUGUGGUUUUUCCCUGGCAUUGCCCUCCACUUCUGCAACGAAGAACUUUUUAUUGUAACUUCCCCAGAGGAGAUUUACCAACAUACGAGCCAACUCCCUGAAACACUGCUAUGUGGUCUUACUAUCCAGCUGAGGCAGAUCAUGAAAGUUCAUCUGAACCGUGACUGGUCAACAACAAUCUAAGACAAUGCAGUGUACAGCUUUACAAGGCCCCCACAUCUGUUACUGCUUGGCAAAGGAGCUACACUACAGCAGGAAAUCAAAACACAAAAAUGUGCACUUCUUCUCUGUCCUCAUUCCCUACUAUGUCUUUUACUAGGUGGUAGGUAUGAAAUGUACUAUUUCCCCAAAUCCUCUGCUCCUGUUACCUCUCCCUCACAUGUUCAUAGCCCCAGUGGUUUCUUCAAGCCCUCCUUAUUGUUGUCCCAGUUCAGGAAAGCAUCCAUAAUCAACAACUUAAGUUAUGCACAUGCUUAAGUUUCAUUUAAGUUAAGCCCUUAAGUUGUUUUUUCUGAAUCAGGCCCUGUAAGAGUGACUCAGCAAAUCAGGGAAAAGAAACAAUAGCAUGAGAUUCAGGUGACUAGGCACAACUGAGGAAUUGAUCUCAAAUGCAGUGUGUUGGAACUCACAAUGAACUGAUAGUGAGCAAGCCAUAGAAUAAAAAUGUUCAAGAAAACAAAUUUUAACAAAGUAAAUUCAAAUAACAAAUGUGAGGAUGUCGCAGAAAAAGAGGCUAAAGUUGUCAAGGAAAAUUAUUCACCUUGAACUGUUCAGUCAAGCCCUAUUUUGAUUUCGGAGAUUCCUUCUCUUUACUGGGGCUCUGAGAUUUGUGUUUCCCAAAAUUUUCCAUCAUUUGCCUCAUGGAGGGCUAUUGAAAUAGCCCACCUCUUACUGAACUGGUCUCAUUCCAUCCACAGAGAUGACUGGAAUGUCUGUCACAAGCAGUGAAUGAAACAAUAAAAAAAAAAAAAAGAGCCAUUCUCAACAUUUCUCAGUGGCUGAUGUGAACCAUAGGGCAGGACACAGGGUUCUGAUGGUCCCUGACACCAAAACACACUGCAUAUCCCAACUAUUAGCCACACCUCCAUUGUUCUAUGCACAAACACACAAUAUUCAUGUAUAGUUCAACAGAUGUAAUGCACUGUAGUAAGUAAAUGAUGCAAUUGCAGGUAAUGCUCACAGAAUACAUAUGAAAAGGAACUAUUGGGUUUCUUACACAAG